rnacentral:rRNA from 1 species
UACGUAGGGGGCAAGCGUUGUCCGGAUUUAUUGGGCGUAAAGAGCGUGUAGGCGGCCAGACAGGUCAGCUGUGAAAACUCGAGGCUCAACCUCGAGACGUCGGUUGAAACCGUCUGGCUAGAGUCCGGAAGAGGAGAGUGGAAUUCCCGGUGUAGCGGUGAAAUGCGUAGAUAUCAGGAGGAACACCGGUGGUGUAGACGGCUUUCUGGACCGUAACUGACGCUGAGACACGAAAGCGUGGGUAGCAAACAGG